UAUGUUUUAUAUCCAGAGAGCUCUAUGUAGCUCUAUGUUUUAUAUCCAGAGAGCUCUAUGUAGCUCUAUGUUUUAUAUCCAGAGAGCUCUAUGUAGCUCUAUGUUUUAUAUCCAGAGAGCUCUAUGUAGCUCUACGGUUUAUAUCCAGAGAGCUCUAUGUAGCUCUAUGUUUUAUAUCCAGAGAGCUCUAUGUAGCUCUAAGGUUUAUAUCCAGAGAGCUCUAUGUAGCUCUAUGGUUUAUAUCCAGAGAGCUCUAUGUAGCUCUAAGGUUUAUAUCCAGAGAGCUCUAUGUAGCUCUAUGUUUUAUAUCCAGAGAGCUCUAUGUAGCUCUAUGGUUUAUAUCCAGAGAGCUAUAUGUAGCUCUAUGGUUUAUAUCCAGAGAGCUCUAUGUAGCUCUAUGGUUUAUAUCCAGUGAACUCUAUGUAGCUCUAAGGUUUAUAUCCAGAGAGCUCUAUGUAGCUCUAUGGUUUAUAUCCAGUGAGGUCUAUGUAGCUCUAUGUUUUAUAUCCAGAGAGCUCUAUGUAGCUCUAAGGUUUAUAUCCAGAGAGCUCUAUGUAGCUCUAUGUUUUAUAUCCAGUGAGGUCUAUGUAGCUCUAAGGUUUAUAUCCAGAGAGCUCUAUGUAACUCUGUUUAUUUUCCAGAGAGCUCUACGUAGCUCUAUGUUUUAUUUCCAGAGAGUUCUAUGUAGCUCU